AUUGUGUGAAAAGUAAUUUGUUAAAGAAUAUGUGACACUGAAGUGACUACAAACUAUCUUGCUAACAACUUGAGGUUGACAACAUCACAGAAGUAACAAAGCUUUGGAGGUGGAUAGCUGAGACCUGUUAAAAGUAUAUGGAAAUUUUUCUUUACUUAGACUUGUGAUUGGCCAUCAAUGGAGUUACAUAAGAUGGCGAAUGGGAGUUUCCAGUGCUCUUCCCUUGAAGAAACAUCAAUUUGAACAACCACCACAUAAAUACUUUCACAAAUAAACAAAAAGUUCCAAUUAUAUGUUACUGGGCUAAACUAAGACACUGCUGAGAGCAAGAUGAUCAAUAUCCCAGGCCUCAAGGAAAUUUCAGCCUAAAAGGAAAGAGAAUCAUUAGGUACUUCAUUAAGGUAACUAUGCCUCAUUGUGGGAGAAUCAUAUUCAUCUACCCCUUGACUUGGUCAUGUUCCUACUGUGUUCAAUUCCAUAUGGGUGGAAAGACCAGCUUGCCAGCCAUAACUCUCAUCCAGAAGAAGCCUUGAGUAUUUCCAUUCUUCCUCUUGCACCUCUGCCAUCAACUAAGAAAAACCUACUCUGCAGGAGGAAGGAUUUUCCACGCACAGUUGAAGCUGGUGGACCACAGGCUGACAGUAAGAAGCAGAGCUGCUCCAGCUGUUGCAACCAGAAGCAGAGAAGCACUUCCACCCCUGACAGUGUAUAUCUGCUGGAUCCUAGCCUAUGUGCAGAUAUGUAAGAAUGAGCAUUCUGUAAGCCACUAAAUUUAAGAGUGGUCUGUUUGACUGUGUUAUUAUGGAAAGAGUUUACUAUUAUACUUAAGUCAAGUUAUUUUUUAUUCCUAUUUUAUGGAUCAAGGAAAGCAUUGAGGCCAUAGAUAGGCUAGGUAACUUACUUAGAAUUGCACGGUAAGCUGGGGAUCUAGGAUUUGAAUUCAUGUUGUCUUUCUCCAGAGCCAAAGUUUUUAAAUUCCAUAUACUGCUUCUCUAAAGUGUGAAACUAGUUCUAAAACUAAAUUUAAUUAUUGAGAAAUUCUAUUAGAAAAGGGAAGUAGAAGGGAAGCACAGUAUAGAAAAAUAUGAGGUAUUCUCAAGUUUAAAUAUCAGCUCUAUCACUUGUAAUGUGGCAUUCUAUGAAUUAUUUGAUGACCAUAAAGUUCAGUUUCCUUAUAAAAACAAUAAGGACUAUAUCACAAUUAUUAAAUAUUUAAGUAUUAAAUACUUAACUAACCUUACUUGCUGAGCACCUUAGGAGCUAGGAACUGUUCUGGGUCUCAGGAUAGUAAAACGAGUAAGACUCACUAAAAUUGCUUGCUGUCUAGAAGCAGAGGUAAGUAGUGAGAUUAAAAGAUAAGGGAACUGUGUAGCAUGAGGGUCCUAACUUGUAUAUUAGUCAAGGUUCUCCAGAGAAAGAGAAUCAAUAGAAUAUAUUUGUUUA